rnacentral:misc_RNA from 1 species
UUAUUGGAGCGCAUUGGAUGCGCUAAGGUAAUCAUAGGACACACCGGCAGAUACGCUUUGCUGGGGGCGUUGGGCUUGUGCCUGCCGUCGCUUCCUGCUCCUUUAUUUAUUAACCACGUCGUAACUUUUAAGUUGCGUUAUGUCUAUCAGGUGACACGAGCGGGAAGUGGCGGAUUUAGAAAGGCAGCCGGCACAAAUGGCGGUUGCCGAGAGGACAGUUCGCUGACACCCUUCAACCCCGGAAGAGGGGACGUCGCGAGCAGACGCUCGCUCCUUUCCGAACCAGGGUUACAAUACCUAAUCGAGUAACGUGGAACUCGGGACAGCCAUGGACGUGAACGCUUUGGAGGCUGAGGCCAAGGCGACGGCGAUCAAGCACAUCGUCACGAUGCUGCAAGUGCCCGAGCAGCUGGAAAAAGUGCAGCAGUACAAGAAGCGCGUCAGCCGCAAAAAGGCGUCUGUCGAAUCCAUGCUCAAAACGGCGCUUCAGUCCCAGCUCGACGGCUUCCGGACCGCCCUGAAUCUGCAGAAGUCCAUCCCUGACGACCUGCUCGAAGUUCAGCGCAACCUCAACGAGGAUGUCCAGGAGAUCUUCAAGUCGUUGCCAGGGCUCACCGAGCGACUGCAGGAGGUCAAAGAAGAGAGCAUCCGUCACUCUCAGUAUGGAGCGGCCAUCGAGAACCUGAAGCACAUCUUCAACGUCCCGGGCAGUGUGCAGAAGACGCAGGAGUUGAUUGCCAACGACAAGCUACUGCAUGCACACCAGGCCCUGUCGGAGCUGGAGAACUCUCGUGACGACCUGCUCUACGAGCUGCACAAACUGCCCAGCCAGAGCGUGACAGACCGCAACAUGCUCAAGCAGUACUUCGUGGAUGUGGAGAAGCUCUCAGACGACCUAGGCAAGCAGAUCUGGCUGGUGCUGAAAAGGACACUCAACUCGGUGCGCAAGGAACCGCAGGUGGUGGUGACUGCGCUGCGCAUUAUCGAACGCGAGGAGCGGCGUGACCAGGCGGCGCUGGAGCGUCAGAAGUCCUCGGGCGGUUUCCUGCCACCGAGCAGGCCCAAGCAGUGGAGGAAGCGCUGCUUCGAGGUGCUGGAAAGUGCAGUCGAGGACCGCAUCGAAGGCAACCAGUUUGAAGACCGGCACGAGAACAAGAUGUGGCUGGUGCGACACCUGGAGGUAACGAGGCAGAUUGUCCUGGAUGACCUGAGGACCGUCAAGACUGUCUGCGCUCCCUGUUUCCCGCCAGAAUAUGACAUCUUCAACAGGUAUGUGCGCAUGUACCACAGCUGCCUGUCCCGGCACCUGCAGAGCAUCAUUGCCAACGAGCUGGAAGGCAACGAGUACAUCACGGUGCUGGGCUGGCUAACAGUGUACACCAGCGAGGAGCUAAUGGGCCACCCGGACCUGGCGCUGGACAAAGAGACGCACACCCUGGAACCCCUCUUGGGCCGGCAGGACGUGCAGCAGCUGAUCGACAAGUACCUGGGCACCCUGGUGGCCAACUACCAGGACUGGCUGCGCAAUGCACUCCAGUCCGACGUCAAGGACUGGCACCGUGAGUGCGAGCCGGACAUGGACAGCCGUGGCUGCUACCACACCUCGGCGCCCAUGAUCGUCUUCCAGAUGGUCGACCAGCACCUGCAGGUCGCCAAAACGGUGGGGCCCGACCUGGUGCGCAAAGUGCUGACCAUCAGCCUAGAGCAGACGACCAAGUUUGUGGCCUCCUACAUGGAGGCAGUGAGCGAGUUCCGGGACCGUCACUUCGAGGACCGCAGUGUGCGCAAGUACUUCACCCACUACGUCAUCGCCGUGGCCAACAACUGUCUCCAGUUCCGGCAACUCUUUGAGAAGUCCUACAGCGACUGCUGCAGUGGUCAGGGCGCUCUGGCCAAAGGAGACAACGAGGUGUCCCAGGUCUACCACCGGCUGCAGCAGAGCUUAGAGCGGCUACAGGAGCGUACCCUGGACUCGCUGCGCGAUGAGCUCUUCCUGGACCUCAACAAGGAGCUGAUGGACGUGAUGACUCGCAAGUGGCUCCUCACGGGUUCCAACAUUAUCGACACGGUCUCGGCCACUGUCGAGGACUACUUUCGUGACUACGCCCGCCUGCUGCCCAGGAACCUCGAGAUAUUGGCCGUCAAGGUGCAGUGGGCAUUGGCUCGGUCGUACAUACACGCCAUCCUGCAGCGCAAGAUCACCUUCAAGGGUUACGAGGAGCGAAAGGAUGCAGCCGAGAAGAUCAACCGAGAGAGUGACAAACUUGCAGAGUUAUUCAGGAAGGCCACACCACCGUCAGCAGCAAGUUCACGCAGGGGUGGCAGCAUGAGUUCGCACGGUUCCUUGCCGCUGGACGCCCUUCCUCUGCUCGCGGAGGUGCUCAAGAUGAAAGACACGAGCCUGCUCAGCCUGGAAGUGUCGGGGCUCAUCAAGCGCUACCCGGACAUCUCGGGCGAGCACCUGCAGUCGCUGCUGCUGCUGCGCGGCGACAUGUCACGCAACGAGGCGCGCACACUGGUGGCAGAGAUGCGCUCGGACGACCAGCCCCACGGGAUCGGCGCACCCAAGAGCGUCUUCUCCGACAUUGUGCUCACAUAGCCCUUGAACAGGACUCGCGAGUGGACUUCUUUUGGCGAGUCCGUAUGUGCGUGUGCGAGCGGAGACCACCUGUGGAGCAGCACCUCUCAGCUACAGACUAGAUCCUUCACCCCAAGGUGGCAAACGGGAGGCUGACAAGGAACUGCUUAUUGAAGCAGUUCAGUGGAGUAGCAGGAAGAGCCUGUGCACAGGUUCCCACAUGGGGGCACUGGAGGGGGCAAAGGCCAACCUCCUGGGUCGUGCCCCUCGGAUCUGAUCUGCACCCCCCUCCCCCCUCCUUCCCCUCAUCCCUGCCUCUGUGUACGUCACCUUGUUUCACACUAGCUACAUACCGACUAGCUGGAUAGUUGUCAAGUGUCUCGAAUGAAGUCACUCAGUAAUGUUUGAACAGAGAUGAAGGUUCAGUAUUGGGCUUAUUUAUUAAUCGCUGGGCUCUUUAUAUAGCGCCCUUAGUCUUCACCAUAAUGUAAAGUCGGCCACAAAUGUUUAAGGGACACGGGAUUUGCGAAAAAACUGAAUUGCCACAAAGCACGGGCACAAAGCCUGAAUUCAGGAGUUUUCGUGUGUAGUAGCCUUUAUGACCUACGUAGUUAUUUAUUAAACUAGAAGUGCUGUGCCUUUACAGGAAGCAGCAUUUCAUAUCUCUUGUGAAACCCGUGCCCCGUAAACAUCUGUGGCCUGCUGUACAUGGCGCUGUUUUGAAUUGCCCGACUCUAACGUAAUUAUUCGCGAGUGAUUCGUGCGGCGAGACAAAUCUUCAGCCCCUCCAAUGGGCUUCGGGGUGCCUUGCCCGUUUUGCACCCUCACGUCCGGUGUGCCCGCCUAUGAGUAGUAAUGAUAUUAAAUGGACGUAGUGGAGCACAGUGCAGUGCAAUAAAGUUAGGCUUACCCACAAGUUUGUGGGUGGUCUGCAUGAAAGUGUGUCCUAUUGCAACAGUGGUUACUAUGAUGCACUAAUAACGUUAUUGAAAAGCAGUAAUGUUAAACCUCAAUUUAACGAAGUUGAUAUGACUCAUUAAGCCCAUUCGUUAAAUCAUUUGUAAACUUUU